rnacentral:rRNA from 1 species
AUUGAACGCUGGCGGCAGGCCUAACACAUGCAAGUCGAGCGGAUGAAGGGAGCUUGCUCCUUGAUUCAGCGGCGGACGGGUGAGUAAUGCCUAGGAAUCUUCCUGGUAGCGGGGGAUUACGUCCGGAGACGUGCGCUAAUACCGCGUACGUCCUGAGUGUGAAAGUGAGGGAUCUUCGGACCUCACGCUAUCAGAUGAGCCUAGGUCGGAUUAGCUAGUUGGUGGGGUAAAGGCCUACCAAGGCGACGAUCCGUAACUGGUCUGAGAGGAUGAUCAGUCACACUGGAACUGAGACACGGUCCAGACUCCUACGGGAGGCAGCAGUGGGGAAUAUUGGACAAUGGGCGAAAGCCUGAUCCAGCCAUGCCGCGUGUGUGAAGAAGGCCUUCGGAUUGUAAAGCACUUUAAGUUGGGAGGACGGGCAGUAAGUUAAUACCUUGCUGUUUUGACGUUACCAACAGAAUAAGCACCGGCUAACUUCGUG